CCUCCCCACCGCCCAGGGUUAGACCCGCCGGUCGCGGUGUCGCACCGGGGCGGGCGAGCGCAGGAGCGGGGCGAGGCGGCGGCGGGCGAUGCGGGUGCGGGGGCGAUGUUUGCCCCGGGGGCGGGAGCGCUCCUCCGGCGGGGACGCGCAGGUGGCGCGGCGCCGGGGGAAGGACCGCUCCGUGCGCUCUUCACCUGUGGGCGUGACCGCCGUCCCCCUCCCCCUCCGCCGCCGCCUUCUCUUUACUUGAAGGGCCGGCGCUGCUCUAGCGGCAGAGCCUAAGCGCGGAGCUGGCGGCGCAGGGAGAGGAGACCAGCCGCCGCCGAGCCUCCGCGUAAAGUGUCCCGCCCGCCGCGGAUCCGGCCCUUCGCGCCUCCGCCCCGUCGAGCCCGCCGGAGCGGCCGGGAGAGGAGAUCAGGCUGGACUGGCGGGGGGGACGCGGCGCCUCUCCUCCCGGCGGGCCGGGCUGUCUGUAUCCGCUGCCGUCCUCGGCCGUUGGCGGGCACCGCCGCCUCCCGCUCCUCCGCGGGCGCUGGGCUCGGGCGCCGACCGCCCUCGCCCGGCCGAGCUGCCUGGCCGAGCCCUCCGCCGUGGGCGGGCGGCGGCGGCCGCCGGGGUGCCCGCGCCCCUCCGUGCCCGCUGCCCCGCGGCCAUGCUGCCCUGGGCGGGCAGGCGGCGGCGGCCUGAGCGGGGGUCGCCCUAGAGCGGCGGGCGGGCGGGCGGGGGAGGCCUCCCCGCGGUAGCACCGCCUGGGCCCGCGGGCGGCCUGUGGAGGGCUGCCCCCCGGGGAGGGGAGGCGGCAGGGGAAAGGACAGCAGGCGAGACAACUUCUGCAAAUUAACAAAGGAAAGGAGAAAAAGAGGAGGAAAAAUUAAAAAUAAGGCUCGUUCGUGGGACAUCUCCAAAGCUCAGCACCACGCGAGUCCCAGCAAAACCCAGCGCACUGGUGACUCUCGCCACAGUGACGGGAGGAGAGUCGGUGACGGGCGCUGCGUCCUGCGCACCUUAGGGUCGCCUUGGCUUUCUGGCUUGACCAUGAUUCCUGCAACAGGACUAUGUUGCUGCUGAUGGACCACGGGGUCGUUGGAAGAUGCCUUCCUUGAGGAUUAUAGGUGGAGAAAGGCCAUCGGUCAAGGGGAGAGCUGGCUGGUGAAACUCUCUGACUUUCCCCCCACCAGGGAAGCGGCUUCAAUGGCUCCAUCUCCCAGGAGAAGCAGUAGGAAGGAUGCCAACGCCUUGCCAAGCAUGUCUUCAACUUUCUGGGCUAUCAUGAUCCUGGCUAGUCUCCUAAUCGCUUACUGCAAUUAUAACAGCUAUUUUGGAGCGGAUAACCCUCAAUGGCUGUAUAUGAGACAUUGCCCGGGGUGCUUCCAAGAUGCUUUUGAGCUGGGUCAACUGGCUGCAGGUACAUGUGAGAUUGUUACUUUGGACAGAGAUAGCAGUCAGCCCCGAAGGACUAUAGCCCGACAAACAGCUCGCUGUGCAUGUAAAAAAGGACAGAUUGCCGGUACAACAAGAGCAAGGCCAGCCUGUGUUGAUGCACGAAUUAUCAAAACAAAACAGUGGUGUGAAAUGCUUCCAUGUUUAGAAGGAGAAGGCUGUGAUUUGCUAAUCAAUAAAUCAGGCUGGACCUGUACACAACCAGGAGGACGGAUAAAGACAACCACGACUGAAGACCAGCUGGAAAUGUCCUGAGGCCAUGGUCUAGUGGUCUGAGCUUGGGACUGGGAGCCAGAAACUCCUGAGCUCUAAUCCCGGCUCUGACAGUGACUCCCUCUGUGGCCUUGGCCUGUCUGAGGCCAUGUGGUUUGGAGAUCUGAUCACUAGUCCGAAAAGAAAAGGCUGUUUGCAAGAUUUCUGGGGUGUUUUUUCCUGGAAAAGGUCUCCUGACAAAUGCAGCAACACAGAAUCCUCGUAGGAGUGGUUUAGGCUCUGUGUGAGCUACUUAACUUAGUCAAGUUUCACUGCUGUUGAUCAUCAUCCGUUAUAUGUCAUCAACUCAACUGUCUGUUUCUCUGUAUCUCAUGAAUGACAGCAUAAUUCCUCUACGUUAUGAGCUAAAGUUUUUCUACCAUACUAAGGAUCACUGGACUAAGGAAUAUAGAAAAAGAGAUAUGCUUGGGCAUUAGCAAUACAAAAAAGUUCAUGGUUAACGUUUCAUCUACGUUAUACACCACUGCUGGACUUGCUGUUACCUACAUGUUUUAAUCCGAAGAGUCUGCUACAAUGAAGAGUAUCAUCCCAAUCAGCCUUAGAGAAGACUGUUUUGCCUAUGGGAGGACACUGAGGUGCAAAAGAGAAACUCUUCUUGUGCCCUAAACUGUCUGAAUUGCUUUUAUUUUCUUAUACUUUCAGUAUAUACAAUAGACCAAAGAGCAAAAUCUAUUUUAAAGUGGACACAAUCUUACUGUUAACAGAGUUAUGUCAUUAAAUUGUAGGAGGUCUCCACAUAGACAUGAUUCCAGCUUUCACAAAGCUGAUAUGUUGUUGUCCAGCAGAUGUCUUUAUGGAAAGCUGCAGUAAAAACUAACUCAGAGACCUGCUCUUGAAAUGCCACGUUCAAGAGAAAAUAAUGGAGCACUGAGAGAAAAUGACAUGUGUUUGAAAACCUUGGACAAAAAGAACACAAACUGUCUACACAGCACCUUUAUUCCUCUGUACUUAGAUUGACUUUCUCGUACUAAAAUCAUUUUCAGUUUUAACCAGUUAAACAUGCCUCUUCUACAGUUCCAUUUUUGAUAGUUAAAGUUGGAUAAUACAGUAUUUGCAAAGAGCAUGUUUGGUCAUCUGUGGCCUAUGUCUCAUCUGAUACACCAUUUAGCACCAGAAAGCAAAUUAAAGAGAAAACAAAAGUAACACUUGUUUGAAAGAGAUCAUUAAAUGUAUUUUGAAAAGCCUAAAGUUAUAUAUUUAACAGUUUUUAUAUGUUGUAUAUUUGUAGAAAAUCCUAUUUAACAAUUAACGUGAUAACUCUGACAGUCAUGACAAGUGGUUCAGAGUUAAGUUGUGUUUUAUUACUUCAGUUGUCUCUGAAGUGACUGGUGUCGUUUGCUUUCUUCCAUUGGGACAUUCUGGAUGUAAAGCAUGACCAGAGAGGACUGUGUAGAAAAAGCAAAGAAUAAUGUUGUUUAUAUUACAUAAAUGCAUUCAACCAUUGCACUGUUGGAAGGCAUUUUUUAUUUUUAUUUUAUUUUUAUUUUUUUGUCUUUAUGUACUGAUAAAAAUAGAGUGUAAAAUAUUUUACUCAUUGCUCUUCAUAGCAAAGUUUGUUUUUCUUUCUUACUUCCUAUCUUUCUUUCAUUUUCUUCCUUCCUUCUUUCCUUCCUCUCUUUCUGUCCUUCCCUUUUCUCUCUUUUUCUCUCUUUCCUUCUCUCUCUCUUUCUUUCUUUCUUCUCCUCCCCACCCCCCACCCACCGACACACACCGUAAGGGUCAGUUUGAAGCCUGUUCCUUGAUCCCAUUUUCAGUGUUUUACCUCAUUGUUAGAAAGCCCACAUUUUUGGCAUUAUUGGUUAGUGACAAUUUAGAAAAGACAGCAUAGACAAGGGGGAAAUAAUGACAAAACAGAGAAACAAGCAAAACCUUGUUCCCUUUUACUGUACCUUUCGGUAUGUAAGUUUGGUACAUAUUGAUAUGAUGCAAUCAACAGGGGAGCUUAAUUUCUUCCUGGCAAAUGUAUUAUGGUUUCAAGUAUACUACCUAAUACUCCAAUUAACUUUUAGUGUUAUGCUAGUUCUAUUCUACUAAAGAAAAAUAUAUAGCGAUUGUUCAAGUGACCAUAGAUGAAAGGUACAAAAAUGAAAGUUGAUUAAAGAAAUUUUUUGAAGGCCUGCUCUAAUACUGAGGCUUAUUUAAUGCAGAGGUUGCAGGAAACAUGAACUAUAGAUCAUUUUGUCUUCAAGUAAAAUCAAUAUAUACAAAAUUCUUAUUUAAUCUUAGCAUUUUGACCAGUGUCAAAGUAGCAAUUAAAGCCCAGCCACUUGAAAAGUGUUAUGGACUGACUGCACUAUAAAUGACCAAUGUCAGGUUUAAAAUGUCAUGCAAUAAAUGAUGGUAAAUACAUUUACUGUACAUGUAGACCUCAAGAGCCAGAUCCCUCACUCUACCAACUCUCUGUUUUGAUUUAUUUUAAAGGGAGUGUAGUAGCCUUAUUUAGUAAACAGAACAAUUAAAGAUGUUACAUCAUUUUUGUUGCUUUACAGUAUUCAGUUAUGUGUUGGUUCAGCUAAAUUAUGAAAAAUAAAGAAAAUCCUUUUGUAAGUGAGACUUCUGUUCCCUGAGCAUGACGUCACCAAAGGAAUUUCACCUGAUAAUUAGUGAGGUGGGGCACAGAGAUGAAGACUUAGCAAUGGAAUGGAAAUGGAGGAUGAGUUGUGUUUUGAAACUGAAGUUUUACCCUUCCCUUUUUAGGUCUUGGGUACCUUCAUUCUGGUAUGCUCAGUUAUAGAUCAGAUUAAGGUCAUUUAUUUUCUAGAAACCAGAUCCCACUAAAGGAUCUAAGAAUGGACAUCUGAAAUCUAUACAUCUUAAAUCAUACCUUCCUGUUGGUUCUGAAUAUGCAAGCUUAUGUCUUUGUUUUCUGAGUACUUUAAAUGCUCAACAAAAGAGAGAUGUACAUUGUUUAUAAGGUCUACUCUGGUUAAGAAAUAUCAAAGACAAAAUAUUCUGAUUAUUCAUCAGAGGUGCAUUCUAGUUGCUGAGUCAACAGACACCUCAAAGCACUUAAAGUGUGUUUUGUACUUUUCACUCCUCCUCCAAAAUGUACAGUUUUAAACAAACAAAAUAUACUGGCUGCCUUUGUCACUGUGAAUUACUACUCUAAGAGCAGUGGUGAAAUGUUUCUGUCUCAGGAACAAUAUAUUUUCAGAAUAUUGUGAACUUCUAAUUUUACAAAGCUAAGUUACAUAAAAAUUUGUUUGUUUCUGAAAGUAUUUGAUGUGCCUCUUCCAAAGCAAAAUUUGAAACACAGAAGGGAAUGUCUUGUUUGAAUGCUAUUAAAUAUCCUUCGUUUCUCAGCUUGCAAACAAGUAACUUUUUCAAAAUAUGCUUGAAAGGGAACAAAAGAAUACAGAAAAAACACAUAAUAGACUAAUAAAAACAACCUCUAGAAAUGCAGUAAACCUUUAAACAUUUUUUGAAAAAAGCUUCUCUCUUAGCCCAGGCAAGGACAUAUUUAAUGACUACUUUAAACAUCUGGGAUAUCAAAUGGAGCAAAUAUUAACACACUAUAGCAAUGAAUAUGACACAUCAUUCACCAAUUUCAUAAUUAUGCUUUUAGCUUUUUUGGGGGUUGGGGUUUUUUUUGCCAAUUCAUUUCUUCUCUGCAGUAGCUCAGGUUUUAUGCAUGUGGUAUCCUCAAUCAUUCACUUGUUUACUGAAACUGUACCCACAUGCUGUUGCAUAAAUCUUUAACCCAGGCACUUACUAUCUAAUAUAGCCUAUUCAUCACAAUCGUGAGUACUAAUUAGAGUUUCCAGAAGAAAAUAAAGAAUUCAACACUGUGUCUGAAGAGCCUAUGUGAGUAUAAGAAACAGCUGAACUAGAAGAUGGUAAAUUGAUUGGUUGAUAGGAAAAUCAGAGCACUAACUGCCUGGGCCGCUGAACUAGUGGAAAGAAAAAAGCACAAGCCAACAUCGCAUGUAGACACAAGAAGCCAAAAAAAAAAAAAGAAAAA